UGGCGGACGGGUGAGUAAUGCCUGGGAAACUGCCCGAUGGAGGGGGGAUAACUACUGGAAACGGUAGCUAAUACCGCAUAACGUCGCAAGACCAAAGAGGGGGACCUUCGGGCCUCUUGCCAUCGGAUGCGCCCAGAUGGGAUUAGCUAGUAGGUGGGGUAAAGGGCUCACCUAGGCGACGAUCCCUAGCUGGUCUGAGAGGAUGACCAGCCACACUGGAACUGAGACACGGUCCAGACUCCUACGGGAGGCAGCAUG
rnacentral:rRNA from 1 species